ensembl:lncRNA
UGAAAGUUAUGUUAAAUCAAAAAAUUGCAAUAGACAAACAACAACGCUAAGUAAAUCACACAUUUGAUAAACGAAAGUAUAUGCAAUAAUUGUAUAUACAGUUGCAUUGUUUACCGCAGUCGACAGCUGUGGCUCCCGUCCGCACGGCAGGCAAUAGGGCGAGUACUCGGUGGAGGCCUGGACGCUGCCGUUGUGUUCAAAGAGAAUGACCUUCAGGUUGUCCUCCCACCGUUCCUGGUACCCGUCAAGGGACUUGUCCAUGGCAGUCUUGAGGGUCUUGAGAGUCUAGUUGGUCCGUUCAUCCAAACCUGGAGGAGGGGAGUUCACGACCUCGGUCACUCAAGCUGACCUCAGGAGAACCGUGGGUUUUGAAGAUGGCCACCUCCAAGGCGAUGAUGGACUCCCCAGUUUCAUCCUUGAUGGUUUUGUUUCUUCAAGCCUACCAGCGGUUUUCCCCUCGGUUCCUGUCUGUCGAUUGUUCCUGUUUGCUAGUUUUCCCGGUGUUGACCAUUCUGCCUGCCGUCCUGUACCUUUUCCCCACCUUUCUGGAUUACUGCCCCUUGACCUGCCUUUUGCCUGCCCUGUUCGAUUUAAUAAACUGUUGUUACUUCAAAGUUGUCUACAUCUGGG